UGCCAUUGAAAGUUCAAUGAAUCUCAAAGGAUCUAGGAGUUUUCAUAGAUUUAAAACUUAAAUUUCUUUUUCGUUUUUCAUGGUGGAAAUUAGUGAAUCGUCAUUCACUUACCUUCAAAUAUUCUGCAAUUAGGGUUACGGCAUCCCUCUCCCGAGUUGUAGAAUAUUGUGUUGGGUCCUAGCCUUAGUAUCUCAUUUGGGUGAUUUACUAAGGACUCAAUCAAUCAACUAACUUGAAUUCGUUUUCUCCCGUUUUGUAGAUGUCAAAGUUCGACAACUAUGGUCUUCCCAAAUCCCGUGGAACAAGCAUUCCACAUGAAGAUGAUAUUCCACGAUUCGAUCGAGGAACAAGAAAUCAUGCUUCACUUCCUCCUCCUCCUCCAAUUAUUCUCCCUAACCCACAAGUUCAAAGGCUUGAAAAGUUCAAGAUCACUCAAGCCCUUUUGGCAAGUAAACAUAAAGAAGGAAAGUCGGUGUGUGCACACGUCCUAGGGAUGAAGUCACACAUUGAUAGGUUAAGAAUGUUGGGAUCCGUUGUCUGUGAGGAAAUGGCUGUUGAUUGGGUUCUUCAGUCACUUCCUAACUCAUAUAGUGAGUUCGUAAGAGAGUACUAUAUGAUGAACCGCGACGUGACCCUUAUAGAUCUCACCUAUAUGCUUAUUGCUGCUGAAUCAGCAAUGGUUUGGCGCAAUAGAAAAGCAAAGUUGAUUGGUGAAUCUGCCUUCAAGACCUCUAUGGAUAUAGACAAUGGCAACGAAAGACAUGCUAUGAUCGAAAAGUUUGAUCAUAAGAGAAAGGCAAUGUCUGAAGUAGUUCCAUGUCAUGUUCCAAAAGAGUCAAUUUGCUUUUAUUGCCAAGAGAAAGGGCAUUGGAGACGAAGCUGCCCCAUUUACCUAAGAGAUCUAAGAGAUGGGAGAGUCGAAACGUAUGGCUCUAAUAUAGGUAAAAUCCAUUAACUAACUCUUUUAAGCUUCUAUUCUAGAUUCUUAAUACAUAAUGUGAUAAGAUUACAAUUGAUGUUUUGUAGGAUCGAAGAAAAGAAAGGAAGCUUAAGGGAAGAAGUGAGCAGAAUCUAACCGUGAAGGAAUGGAUUUCGAUCGCAUUUCUCGAAGAUUAGAUUCUUGAGCUACUACUUAGAGUUAGAAUUAGAUUGCUAAGAAAGAUGUAUUAGCAUAGUUUUUCAAUGAAUUGCAUUGUAAGGACAAAUUUUUUCCGCAAUAAAAUAAAUUUUGAUUUUAUAUUAUUUAUUUAUCCUUGCAAUGGCGUAUAUGAAAAAUUGAUGUUUGAAUGUUUCUAUUAUUAGCAAUAAUGGAUUUGGUUCUUAUUAUGUUAUUUAUGGAAAGUCGAGAGUUUACCAAAUAGGGAGAGUUUCUCAUCGCCCAAGUUUCAAUUGGACAGAAACUUGGAAUCAUGCAACUUGGUUGCACGAUGAAUGAGAAAUUUCAUAUUUGGAAAUUAGACUAAUUCAUUGACAAAGUGUCAAGUGAAGGACUAGGAGAUCGAGUACACAAAGUUGCGUGUUGAUCAAGUCCACCAUAAGAGUAACAAAGAUAUUCGUCAUGAUUUACUAAAGGUUUAGUAAAUAUGAUUAUACUUAUAAGAUUAAGUGUAAUUCUGAAUUGAUUGAAAAAGUUUAAAUCAAUAGCAGAACGAAUAAGAAGAAUCAAGUAGGCAGAAAGAUAAAAGUUUCUCCAUUCUAAGAAGAAGGGAGAGUACCUUUUAUGCUUUAUGAUAGGUCUUAAUGAUUAAGAACCAUAUCUCAAUUGAUCCUCUAAGUGAGUCUUAGUACAAUUGUAUGUCUAAGAAGAGGAAUCAAGAAUUGAAGAAAUGGUUAAAUCAAGAAGUCAAUCAUACUUCGUUCCAAAACAAGUCUUAGAGUUAAGAUUGUGACAUUGAGUGAUAAGUAUUAAGAAGGUUUAUAACAUUCAUCAAAUGUGGAAAGUUGUGAUGUCUUGGAUAAGACAAAGACCAACUAGGACCAAUUUAUGAAGUGUUUUGAUAAAAACUACACUAACUCUUGAAUAUUUGUUUGUCAAGAAAUGUUUAUUGACAAGAGAAUCUUAUAUGUCAAGGAGUCAGUGGGAGUCUUAAUGGUCUUGAAAGGUUUCAAGAACAAAUCAAAUAAACCUUAUCGAUCAUCACUAGCACACGAGUUGAGGUUUACAACCUAUCGUGUUGACAUUAUUUUGUUUCUGUGCCAAUCCAAUCGAGUUAAUUAUGCAUGUGAGUUCUAUGAGUUCUCAUUUUGAACGCAUAAAAGGCAAAGCACCUUAAUCAAUGAAAGGUACAUUGAUAGGAAAGGGUGAGCUGCUUAACUACUUGGAAGACAUGGUGGGCAGCUGUGCUACCAUAAGGCAAGAAAUCAAGAUUAAGAAAGUUCGGUCCAUAUGAGUUUGAAUUUGUCGUAAACUUUGGUUUUAACAAAUUCACAUGGAUAGGAACACAUACACCGUUUAAAUCUAAGUGUCAUAAGAUUUCCUCCUUCAUGAAAAUGAUUGUGAGGAAAUGCUUUCACUAAGAAAGAUUUUAAGAAGAUAGUGAUUGUAAAAUUGCAUUCUCGAAUUCGAUUAUGGUUACGGUAUCCCUUUCCAUAAUUUGAAUUGUGAGGUUUGGCAAUUAGUCUUAAUUGUUUAGACACACAUAUGAACUAUCGAAGGCAAAUGUGUAUAAGUUCAAGAAACCUUGAUAAAAGAUUAUCAAAGCACUAAGUAUUAGAAACAUGAACUUAAGAAAUUCAAUAAGCAUUGUUUUUCUGAAAGUUAAGAUGUUUAUGAAUACAUGUCGAAGCUAGUGGGAGCAUAAGUGUUAUGUUUUAUAAUAAUCAUCAUGAUAGUGGGAGCAUAAAUGUUAUGAUUGUAUGAUUAUUAAGGCACGUAUUGCAAGUUGGCAAUAUUAAUUAUAGAAAACAAGAGUUAUACCUUGCAAAGUCGUAAGGGUUGUAAAGUUGUUUUGCUAUAAUUAAGGGAGAGAAUAUUAUGCUUCAUUUCAAAUCUAAAGGAUUAGGUUGAGAAAUGUUAAUAAAUUUAGUCAAGGGUACAUAGUGUGUUCUUAAAAUUUCGAUUAUGAUUACGGCAUUCCUCUUCACAAUUCGAAUUUUGAGAACAUAGCAAAUAAAACAUUAUGCGUCGUGUCCCAUACGCUUCGGGUAUAGGAUCGAUUGCAAAUGCUUUAAUGUUUGACCAUUCUAAAAUUUUCCAAAUGUCGAGCGCAUUUAGAGGGAAAAGGGACUAGAAUUGGUUUUGACUAAAAUAAUUAAACAACUAUCAAAGGACAAUCCAAAGUUCGACGAGGAUUGGUCGCUUGUGAGUAGUUGGAAGUAUAGUAUUGGAAAAUAUGGAAAUGUUUCCAUAUUGGAUGGACCAUAUCGACAUCAUUACGAAUAGAUAAGAUUCUAUUAAGAAUGAGUUGUCAUAUGGAACAUAUGGAAGUGUGUCCAUAUUGGGAAUUGAAUAUUGAGAAAUCUAUGACUAGAUUAGAAACUUCUAUGCAAAAGGAUGUUCAAAGAAUGUACUUUGAGUGAGAGACAUCACGUCUAUGGAAUUGUCUUGUAACAAUCUCCGAUAGAGGACUUUGUAAUAUCAUUGGCAAUAGUCUUUGUGACUUUGGUGCAGUGACAUUACGAAAGGAUAGUUGCAUAGAAUGUUAGAAUCUAGCAUAUUCUAUAAGUAGCAAGAAUUUGAUAUUCUUUAACUUAUGAAAAACGGAUUUGGAGUUGUGAAAUGAGAAGGAUUGGAAAUGUGUUCAAUGUGAUCUAUUUCACAAAGUAAGAACCAUAGGUAAACAUUGUGUGCAUGCUAGGAGCAUGGGACAAGUGUUGGAAUUCAAGUAAGAAGUUGAUUACCCGAAACGACAAAUAAUGAGUAAUCAAUAUGGUGAUAAAUAAAAGGUGUUUUAUUUAUACUCAAAGGUUUGAGGCCAUAUGGGAUUAGUAUUAUUCUUGUGUUUCACAUUUGCAUGUUUUGACUUCCAGAAUAAUUGAGUUUAUUAAGAAUAAUCGAAUUAUUCAAACGGGCCACAGUCGUUCAUAUGUUGGAAGUAGAUAUGAAUGAAGACUGUCGUGAAUUGGUGUGUGGAUUGUCUAAAAGAGUAUUAGACAUAAGCAAAUGUUUGCUGCAACGUUCAUGAGUGCUUAUGAAUGUGAUUUGAGCAUUGGAUUAAACCCACGCUCACUUGGAUCACUCCAUGAAUUGUAUCACGAGUGAUUGGUGAGACGAUAACAUCUUAUAUUCUUGAAACCGAGAUGUGUGAGUUGUAUCUUGCAAAUCGGUUGCACAUUGAUAAUAUGUAAACGCACUAGUAACUUGGUGUUAUAAAACAUAUUGUUGUGUGUGAUUCGGUGAGUGAGUGCAAGCAAGCAUUGUAUCAAAGUUUAUCCGUUCCUUUUAUCCAAAGUAGGAUAAAAGCGAUAUCUUUGGGCCCCUCGAUGGUUUAGUGAUGACAAACGUAAAUGCUCGGCCGGGCUAGGGCUAAUUUGAUUUGUUCAAUUAGUCAGUCGUCAUAAAUCGGAAAUCGAGAUAUAGUACAAAGAGAAUGAUUUGAAAUCAUAUCUCAUAUGAUAUCUAGAAUGGAGGAAUAUAUGAUCCCUUAUCUAAGGACACGCGUAUCUGAUAUGAUCAGAGUUGACAGCGGCUUUGGAAAGCUACGAUUGCAGAUCGGGAUCCGAAGUCAUACGCAGAAUAGUUGUUAGACUUAUCCAAGUGGGAGACUGUUGGAUUAGUGUCUAAGUCCAUAACUAUUUUGGUAUGUACUUGACCCGAUGGUGCAUGGUCCUUUUGGGUUGCCUUCACCAAAGCAACUUGAUUGGAGAAAUAAAUAGAGAGAGAGGUUAUUAUGAUUUAUUAAUAUGUUAUAAGAAUAAUAUAUUAAAGGAGAAAUCAUAUUUGUUUAAUUAAUAUUGGUCAAUAAUUAAUUAAGAAUUAAUUUUGUGAUCAAGUGUAAUUAAUUAAACUAGAGGGGCUGAAUUGUAAUUAUGUGAUAGUUACAAAAUAAGGUAAGGAUUAUCUUAUAUAUAUGGUGAACGAAUUUGAGGUGUAAAUCCCUUAGAAUUCGACUAGGAUAAGGAUUUCUAGGACUUAUCUUAUGGUUGCUUGGUGGACAAGCAACUAGAUAAGGAUAAGGACUAAAACCCUAAUCUUUACACCUAUAUAAACCCCCUAGGGCUUAGGAAUUCGUCCAACCCUUCCCAAGAGGUCCUAAGGACGAAUUCUAACCUCCCUCCUCUCUCUUUAUACCUUCUCCACUUGCUUAUGGUGUUUGUAAGCCAUUAGAGGAGUGACACUUGUGACUCUCAGCUUUCCAAGGUCAAUUCAAGGAGGAAUUGGAUUGUUAUUGCUAUAUAACAAUCAAGGUAUGUUCUUAAACCUAAUUACAUGUGAAUUCUGAUUUCCAUAUGCUAGAAUUAGGGUUCAAAGUCUUGGAUUCAAAGUAUGUACAAUAGAGAAACCUAGAUCCAAGCUUUAGGGUUUGUAUGAGCACAUAGGAUGUCUUAUGACCAAAACCCAUCAGUGGUAUCAGAGCCAUGAUUGGUUUCUAUUGUAUUGAUGCUUGAUGUAACUGAAAAUCGUGUUUUGGCCUCACUGUUCGACCUGACUCGGCGAGUCACUCUUGGACUCGGCGAGUCAGCCCUACUCGGCGAGUUCCAGAGGGUGACUCGGCGAGUCGGUGCGUCAGACAGUGCUUAUCUCGGGAUUUCUUGCUGUUUUUGCAUUGGGAUAAUUACCUUAUCAUGUUAGAUUAAUAUUAAUCCGAUUAUAUGAUAUAUUUGACUAUAUUUUUAAUCUAAUUGAAGAUAUUUAUCAAUUAAUAAGAUAAUUGUUUCCUUAUAAGAUAAUUGAUUAAUUAUUUUAAGUAAAUUGAUAAAUUAUUUUGCAAGAAAUCAUCAAAUAUGGAUAAUUAUGUGAUUAAAUGUUAAUUUGAAUUAUUUGUUAUUUGAUCCUUGUUGUUGUGAAAAGUUUCAUAUUUGGCCCUUUAGGUUUUAUAGUUUAAAUUUGAACCCCAAAAGUUUUGUUGUUUUGAAAUUUAAAUAGUUGAAACCCUAAUGUUUUGAAAAAGGUUUCAAAACUUGCCCUCAAGUUUUGGAAUUUAAAUUUUGAUUAAAUAGUUUAAUUUUGAUGCAUAUUUAAAUUCUAAACCCUAAUGUGUUGAAAUGUUUCAAAACUUGCCCUCAAGUUUUGGAAUUUAAAAGUUGAUUAAAAGUUUAAUUAGGAAUGUUAAAUUCUAAAACUCUAGUAUAGUUUUGAAAAAGUUCAAAUCACACCCUUAUGGUUUUAUUAAUUAAUUAAGGUGUAUAAUUAAAAGAGGUUUAAUAAAUCCAUAAAAGUUUAGGUUUACAAUUUAAUUGAAUUAAAAGUAUAAUUGUUAAAUUUGACAACCUAUUAUUUUAAAAGUUUAAAAUACACCCUAUACUAUAUAUAACAUUAAAAGUCUAACAUUAUAUAUAUGUAUGAGUAAAAGUCAGUCUUACCGUUAGUAGGCCUCAUUCACGAAGCUGGUCUAUAAGGGGUGUUUAAGGAAAUUGCCUAUAAAAUGGCGAUUGAAUGGGUAUCCACUCUUACCCACCGCACUCUUGACUAGUGGAGGGUCGUUAGCCGAACGGGUAGGAUAGGACGAAACCUUCCAUUAUAAGUAUAAUGAAUUAUUAAAGUAACUAAAUGUUUUCAUAAAAUUCCCAAUCUUAGUUACUUAGGCAAAAGUGAAUUGAUGCAAUUCCAUGAAAUUACACUUUGUGCCCUUGCGAAGACGUUAGUGGAGCGUGUGUGGUUAACCGGCACACUAAAUGGUUCUAAGCAAAGGUAGCAAAGGGUGACUCAAUGUUUGUCAUAGUUCGGUGGAGCGUGUGUGGUUUACCGGCACAUCGAAUAGGUGACUGUAACAUGUGAGGGCACCAUGUAAGUUUGCAUGGUUAUUCACACCCGCUUUGUGAUCCUCGGCAUCCCAGUCACAAACAAGAGGGGCAUAUCGAGAUUUAAACAUGCCAAUGAAAAGUUCAAUGAAUCUCAUAGGAUCUAGGAGUUUUCAAUACAUUUAAAACUUAAUCUAUUUUUCGUUUUUCGUUGGUGGAAAUUAGUGAAUCGUCAUUCACUUACCUUCAAAUGUUCUACAAUUAGGGUUACGGCAUCCCUCUCCCGAGUUGUGGAAUAUUGCGUUGGGUCCUAGCCUUAAUAUCUCAUUUGGGUGAUUUAUUAAGGACUCAAUCAAUCAACUAACUUGAAUUUGUUUUCUCCCGUUUUGUAGAUAUCAAAGUACGACAACUAUGGUCUUCCCAAAUCCCGUGGAACAAGCAUUCCACAUGAAGAUGAUAUUCCACGAUUCGAUCGAGGAACAAGAAAUCAUGCUUCACUUCCUCCUCCUCCUCCCGUUGUUCUCCCUAACCCACAAGAUCAAAGAAUUGAAAGGUUCAAUGUCACUAAAGCCCUAUUGGAAAUGAAACAUGAAGAUGGUAAACCCGUGUGUGCCCACGUUCUAGAAAUGAAAUCACAC
rnacentral:lncRNA from 1 species